UCUUCGGGGAUGAUUAAACCGGCGCACGGGUGAGUAACACGUGAGUGACCUGCCUUUUAGACUGGAACAACUUACCGAAAGGUGAGCUAAUGCCGGAUGAGUUAUAUAAGUGCAUGUUUAUAUAGGAAAAGUUGGGGAGACCUGACGCUGAAAGAUGGACUCGCGUCCCAUUAGCUAGUUGGUAGGGUAAUGGCCUACCAAGGCGACGAUGGGUAGCCGGCCUGAGAGGGUGGCCGGCCACACUGGGACUGAGACACGGCCCAGACUCCUACGGGAGGCAGCAGUGGGGAAUUUUGCGCAAUGCUCGUAAGAGUGACGCAGCGACGCCGCGUGAAUGACGAAGGCCUUCGGGUCGUAAAGUUCUUUCGACAGGGAAGAAAAUGCCUAUAAGUAACUGUGUAUGUAUUGACGGUACCUGUAUAAGCAGCCCCGGCUAACUCCGUGCCAGCAGCCGCGGUAAUACGGAGGGGGCGAGCGUUGUUCGGAGUGACUGGGCGUAAAGAGCACGUAGGCGGUGUUGUAAGUCAUUAGUCAAAGACUAGAGCUCAACUUUAGUAAGGCUAGUGAUACUAUAAUACUAGAGUAUCAGAGAGGAUUGCAGAAUUCCUGGUGUAGCGGUGAAAUGCGUAGAUAUCAGGAGGAAUACCGUUAGCGAAGGCGGCAAUCUGGCUGGAAACUGACGCUGAGGUGCGAAAGCGUGGGUAGCAAACAGGAUUAGAUACCCUGGUAGUCCACGCUGUAAACG
rnacentral:rRNA from 1 species